GCACAAGCAGCGGAGCGUGUGGUUUAAUUCGUUGCUACACGAAGAACCUUACCUGGGUUUGACAUAGCAGUGGUAGGGAAGCGAAAGCGGACCGACCCUUCGGGAGCUGUUACAGGUGUUGCAUGGCUGUCGUCAGCUCGUGUCGUGAGAUGUUCGGUUAAGUCCGCUAACGAGCGCAACCCUCGCUGUGUGUUAUAUGUGUCACACGGGACUGCCGGUCUUAAGCCGGAGGAAGGUGAGGAUGAUGUCAAGUCAGCAUGACCUUUAUAUCCAGGGCUACACACACGCUACAAUGGUCUGUACAAUGGGUAGCCAAGCCGCGAGGCGGAGCCAAUCCUGAAAGCAGGCCUCAGUUCAGAUUGCAGUCUGCAACUCGACUGCAUGAAGCCGGAGUUGCUAGUAACCGCAGGUCAGCAAUACUGCGGUGAAUACGUUCCCGGGUCUU
rnacentral:rRNA from 1 species